rnacentral:rRNA from 1 species
UGGGGAAUAUUGCACAAUGGAGGGAACUCUGAUGCAGCGACGCCGCGUGAACGAAGAAGGCUUUCGAGUCGUAAAGUUCUUUUAUAUGGGAAGAUAAUGACGGUACCAUAAGAAAAAGCCCUGGCUAACUACGUGCCAGCAGCCGCGGUAAUACGUAGGGGGCUAGCGUUGUCCGGAAUCACUGGGCGUAAAGGGUUCGCAGGCGGAAAUGCAAGUCAGGUGUAAAAGGCAGUAGCUUAACUACUGUAAGCAUUUGAAACUGCAUAUCUUGAGAAGAGUAGAGGUAAGUGGAAUUUUUAGUGUAGCGGUGAAAUGCGUAGAUAUUAAAAAGAAUACCGGUGGCGAAGGCGACUUACUGGGCUCAUUCUGACGCUGGGGAACGAAAGCGUGGGUAGCAAACAGG